AUGCUUUCUACUUUCCACUUCACAGCUUUGGAAGACCAAAACGACGACGUGCAAUGGACCCCUGCGAUCGUGGCCGAGUCGAUUCUCUCCAUCAUCGGCUAGUCACAUUGAUUGCAUCCCCAACGAUUCGUGGCGCGUCAACGUAUCAUCGUCACGUAUCAACGUCCAGGUUAUAAGUCUCAAUGGUCCAGGCAUCACAGCUCACUUCGAUUCAUCUGAGAAUCACUCAAGUACGGCCAAGAGUCGGGAAUUGUUACCAAAUUUCGUUUGAAAUGGUUGUAAGGCUUAAUAUUGUAUCCGAAGAUGGAUCCUUCAAAAGGAUCCUUAAAAUUAGGUCAUUGGACGAAAACCAUUAAAAUGGUUGGAAGGCUUAAUAUUGUAUCCUUCAAAAGGGUCCAUAAAAUUAGGUUAUUGGACGAAAACCAUCACCUGAAUGGUUCCGUCCUAAAAACAAAAAUAUUACCUGAAGG
rnacentral:sRNA from 1 species